GCCUUCGUGGUAUAGUGGUCAGCACGUUCGACGCGUAACCGAGAGGUCCGCAGUUCGAUUCCCGGCAAUGGCG
rnacentral:tRNA from 1 species